GCAGAAGCCCCAAGCUGUGCCCAUCUGGGCAGAGGGAUCCUCCUCCUGUCAUCACUGAAUGAGCCAACUUGCUGUCAGACAUUUCGUAGCACAGAGUGUUUGAGUCUUCAGUUACCUACCAUGGAAACAUCAAAACCUGAUCAGGAAAAGGAAUUGCCAUCCACUCUGCGUGAGAAAGCCACAGCCAGGAUCCACUUGUGCCAAGAGGAGGGAAUCCUCUCCUGAAUGUAAAUCACCUUGUGAACGUGAUGAUCACAUUAAGAACAUGAGAAGUGCCUCAACAAAGAUCAGAUCAUCCUGAAUGACCCACCUGUUGUGUCACCUCUGCCCGCUGAGACAGCACCUGCCAAGGAGGUGUGAUGGACAGUGGAUGUCAAAGAGGGGUGGAGGCCACUCAGUGCCAACCCCUGCAAGCACCUGAGAAGACCCCCUGGAAGUCACCUCUGGAAUGUGACAAGGAUCUGGGCCAGGUGGAGCUACAAUGAAUGAAUCAAGAACAAUACAAAACCCUGAGCUAUGCCAGCUUAGGCGGGGGAAGAUGACCUGGGGCAUCUCAGGCUGGAGGCAGCAGCCCAGGAAUGUCUCUCCCCCCCGCCCCCAGCCAAAGAGGGGUGGUAAUUAUCUUGCCUGCUCUGUCUGUCUGUAGUCUCUUUCUCCCCCUUUUAUUUUCCUUUUUUUUUUUUGUUUGUGGCUGAGUUUGUGGGGGAGUUUUAUUGUUUGUGUCUUAAUUUCACUCACAGGAAUAUUCAAGAGAACCUUGUCUCCUUCCUAACUUCUGGAUCAAGAUAGCAGAUACCAUCCAAAUUAUGUUUCACCCUUUCUGGACAUAGAGCACACAAUGUUUGCAAGCCCAUAGCCAUACAAACAUCAAAUCUUUGCUUCCUUGAUGCAGCUAUUCAAGAGAUAUAAAAUAAAACUAAACUAAAAUUAAAUCAAAUUAAAUUACAUUAACCACAAAUUGAAUAAAACAGACACAGAUGGAACAGAAGUGAAGAGCUGACCAAUAUGGAUCAACACACUUCUUGGGGGACUGGCAGGCCAUGCUUGCAUUCACCAGCAACGUGGCAGACCAUAACUAGAAAGCAGUGACCACCUUGGUAGCACCCAAUGGAAGCCUUACCUGAAUGAUGCAGAAUGGUAAGCUGUGCAUCCCAGUCAGGUGUGUGUGCCUGGGAGGAAGCUUUUUCAGGUGUCAGGGAUGAAAAGCCAAGAGCUGGUAUACCCAAUACACUGCUGUCAGUUGGCUGUUCAGGAAAAACAAGCAGUUUUGGAAGUUCAGACUUACAGAUGGGUGGACACAUGUGUUCUUCACAUCACUGCAAGAGAAACUCAGAUGCCAAGAAAGGCCACACAAAGUCAGUCACAAUGCUCUCUUUGCCUGGCACCCUGCCUAUAACAGAGGCUAAGCAAGGACACCUGUGGAGCAGUUCAAUAAAAAGUCAAGUGUGUAGUGAUGCUUCUCCAGGAUAGACUUCUGGCUGUCAACAAUUCUUGCUUAAGGAUUUGCUGCAGGACAACUGCCUGGAGAUUUAAUAACCCUUGAUGGGUUUUCCUUCAAUGCAUUUGUUUGUGUCAACCUUUGGCAACCACAACAUAGUAAAUGGAAGAGUUCCUUUGCAGAAGCAUGUAGCAUGGAAAGUAUCUGCUGCAGAACUAGGCCAUGUACAGGAGACAUACAUACUCUGAGAGCAAAGGGGGAAGAAUCCUGCUCUGAAAGGGGGUUGGCCUAGAUGAUCUUUUGAGGUCCCUUCCAGUCCUUGACAUUCUGUGGCUCUGUGCUUCUGAGUGCUACAUAGGAUGUUAAAAAUACUGGUGCAUUACAGGUUAACACAGGGGUGUAGUAACAAGGGGGGUUUGUCCACUUAUGAAUACUUAGCUGAGGUCUUUGUACAAUGUACUUUGAUUUUUGAGAGAUAGCAGUCAUCUCAGAGUCCUCUCAGUAUGCUUAUAAAGACAAAAGUGCUGGACAAGGAGACU